rnacentral:rRNA from 1 species
UACGAAGGGGGCUAGCGUUGCUCGGAAUUACUGGGCGUAAAGGGCGCGUAGGCGGCACUGUUAGUCAGGCGUGAAAGUCCUGGGCUCAACCUGGGAACUGCGCUUGGAUACGGCAGAGCUAGAGGAUGGAAGAGGGUCGCGGAAUUCCCAGUGUAGAGGUGAAAUUCGUAGAUAUUGGGAAGAACACCGGUGGCGAAGGCGGCGACCUGGUCCAUUACUGACGCUGAGGCGCGACAGCGUGGGGAGCAAACAG